GACUAAGGUUCGAUUCGAGCGAAAGCGAGAGAACGUUGCCAACGGCAACGGCCCGAAGGGCGAAGCGCGCAGCGCUGAGUCAUCCUUCCCCCACCACCA
rnacentral:sRNA from 1 species